rnacentral:tRNA from 1 species
AAGAGGUCUGAGGAUUUUAUCUUCAGUUGUUCGAUUUAGCAGGUCUUUAUGUUCAUACACCUCUU